rnacentral:misc_RNA from 1 species
UCCGGCUUAUCACCGGCAGUUCCGUUAAAGUGCCCAGCCCAACCUGAUGGCAACUAACGGCAAGGGUUGCGCUCGUUGCGGGACUUAACCCAACAUCUCACGACACGAGCUGACGACAGCCAUGCAGCACCUGUGUGGACGCCAGCCAAACUGAAGGAAAUCAUCUCUGAUCCCCAAACGUCCCAUGUCAAAAGCUGGUAAGGUUCUGCGCGUUGCUUCGAAUUAAACCACAUACUCCACCGCUUGUGCGGGUCCCCGUCAAUUCCUUUAAGUUUUAAUCUUGCGACCGUACUCCCCAGGCGGAAUGCUUAUCGCGUUAACUACGACACUGAAGGGUUGCCCCCCCAACAUCUAGCAUUCAUCGUUUACAGCGUGGACUAC